AUAGGAUGGGGAACUGCCAACCACAUUACUGUCCUUACUGGACGAAAUGUAAACGAUCGUCGAACCUAAAUUAAAAAUGAAGGCUUUUGUCUCCUAAAGGUUUUUAUUUAUGCAUAGAUGAAAAGGUAACAACGGAUUCAUUGGAAGCUAGGUUAAUCAAAUUUUGAAGGUCAACAAAUUCAAUUAUUAACUUACAAGUAAACAAAUCAGGACUAAAAUGAAACAACUCUAAUAGUUGAGUGACUAACUCUGUCUUUAUAAGUCCCAAUUCCCACGGCCCACGCACUCAACUGAUGACUUCUAUCACCAAGUUACCAUCUUUCCCUGCAACCUCUUUAUUACCCCCUUUUCCAUGAAUUCAUUUAACUCCCUAACCCAAAGAUAAAGAGUCAAAAUCAAAUCAAAUCAUCAUAAAUUGUAAAUUAGAAACUCCCAAAUUCAGAAGUUUACUCGUUUACCUCUGAAAUGGCGUCCGGUUUGUUACCAUUUCGGCCACUGACAAUCGUUAGAGCUAGUUUCAGCGCCGAUGACCGGAAACCUGAAGCUAAAAAAACUUCAUCGUCCCACUGGUGGGCUCCGCUGUUCAGAGUUUCGUCGGAGCCGGACUAUUUACAGUCUGACUAUAAGAAGAGCAACCCGGAUCCGGUAGAGGCGAGGUCUCGGUUCAGUCCGGGAUCUUUCACGGAGGAAAAGGCAAAGCAGCUCCGGAGGAUGACAACUAAUACGUCGUCGCAUGAUAUGUAUCACUCUGCCAUUGCAUCAAGGCUCGCCUCCGAUUUCGCCGAUCGGCGUACUACGUGAGUGUGUGUUUUUUAUUAAAUAAUUUGUAUAAAUAUUUAAAAAUUGUUAGAAGGCGAUGUGAUGAUGUGGAUCUGAUCCGUAAGCUUGUACUAUCUUAAUCAAUAUGAUUGUAUAAUUAGAUCAAUACUUUAUCCUAAUUAUUAAUGUAAUGUUGUUAGGUAAAUGGAAUGCAUAUGUGGCAUUUUUCUAUUAGGAGUUGGAUCAAUAAUUGAGUAAGGUGGGGUCGAAGUGAUUUAAUAGGCGCUUUUGGUUUAACUUUAGAAAAUUGAUAAAAAAAAAAU
rnacentral:lncRNA from 1 species